GACGAACGCUGGCGGCGUGCCUAAUACAUGCCAGUAGAACGCAGUUGUGAACGGGUGAGUAACGCGUAGGUAACUGCCUGGUAGCGGGGGAUAACUAUUGGAAACGAUAGCUAAUACCGCAUAAUUCCAGAUGGACCUGCAUUGUAUUAGCUAGUUGGUGGGGUAACGGCCAACCAAGGCAACGAUACAUAGCCGAACGGAGAGGGUGAUCGGCCAAAGAGGGAAUGAGACACGGCCCAGAAGCCUACGGAAGGAAGCAGUAGAGAAUCUACGGAAAUGGACGGAAGUCUGACCGAGCAACGCCGCGUGAGUGAAGAAGGUUUUCGGAUAGUAAAGCUCUGUAGGAAGAGAAGCGGUAUCUUACCAGAGAGGGACGGCUAACUACGUGCCAGCAGCCGCGGUAAUAC
rnacentral:rRNA from 1 species